rnacentral:rRNA from 1 species
UGCCAGCCGCCGCGGUAAUACGGAGGGAGCGAGCGUUAAUCGGAAUUACUGGGCGUAAAGCGCGCGUAGGCGGCUUUGUAAGUCGGAUGUGAAAGCCCGGGGCUCAACCUCGGAAUAGCAUUUGAAACUGGUCAUCUAGAGUACUGUAGAGGGGGGGUAGAAUUUCAGGUGUAGCGGUGAAAUGCGUAGAGAUCUGAAGGAAUACCAGUGGCGAAGGCGACUUCCUGGGCCAAUACUGACGCUGAGGUGCGAAAGCGUGGGGAGCAAACAGGAUUAGAUA